GCGGCAUGCUUAACACAUGCAAGUCGAACGCAGCAUCGGGGCUUGCUCCGAUGGCUGAGUGGCAGACGGGUGAGUAACACGUGGGAACUUGCCUUUUAGACUGGGACAACCACUGGAAACGGUGGCUAAUACCGGAUACGCCCUGAGGGGGAAAGCAGCAAUGCGCUAAGAGAGAGGCCCGCGUCUGAUUAGCUAGUUGGUGAGGUAAUGGCUCACCAAGGCGACGAUCAGUAGCUGGUCUGAGAGGAUGAUCAGCCACAUUGGGACUGAGACACGGCCCAAACUCCUACGGGAGGCAGCAGUGGGGAAUAUUGGACAAUGGGCGCAAGCCUGAUCCAGCCAUGCCGCGUGAGUGAUGAAGGCCUUAGGGUUGUAAAGCUCUUUUGUCCGGGAAGAUAAUGACUGUACCGGAAGAAUAAGCCCCGGCUAACUCCGUGCCAGCCGCCGCGGUAACAC
rnacentral:rRNA from 1 species